AUGAAUAUCGCAGGGAGAAGAGUGCUUGUUCAGAGCGUUCUCUCGGCGAUCCCAACUUUUGCGCUCUCUGUUCUUCUGCAACCAAAGCUUCUCUUCAGAGAGAUUGAUAAAGCCCGCAGAAAAUUCCUUUGGACACAAGAAGACAAGCUUACUGGUGGCAAAUGCAAGGUUGCCUGGAAGCAAGUUUGUACGCCGACGGAAUACGGAGGCCUAGGCAUCCAUGACCUACAGAAUUUCUCUCGCGCUUUGCGACUUGGAUGGUUGUGGCUAUCAUGGCAAACUAAAGAUAGACCUUGAAAGGGCUCGGACCUACCUUGCGACAAGGAUGACAAAGCCUUGUUCGACCAUGCAACCUUUGUAACUCUUGGAAACGGCAGAACAGCUUCCUUCUGGCAAUCCCCAUGGAUCACCUCUCCAAGCCUUGCCACUCUGUUUCCAGGACUGUUCAAGCGAUCACGGGGCAAAAAUAGAUGCGUUGCUGAUGCGCUUGAAAAUGACAAAUGGGUGUUGGACAUGAAGAUACGACCCAACGAGAACCUGAUUCACAGCUUCAUCAUCCUAUGGAGAGCACUACGGGCCGAAGCAAUAUCGCUGCAACCACAAGUGGAUGAUAAAAUCUCCUGGCAUCUUCACAGCGCGGGAGUGUACAGUGCAAAAUCUUCUUACAAAGAGCAAUUCAGCAGCUUACAGAAGACAGACGGCAAACACCUGAUAUGGAAAACAUGGGCACCUGGAAACUUAAAAGUUUUCUUCUAG
rnacentral:rRNA from 1 species